rnacentral:rRNA from 1 species
GACAGAGGGUGCAACCGUUGCUCGGAAUCACUGGGCGUAAAGGACGUGUAGGCGGGAAGGAUAGUCAGAUGUGAAAUCCCUGGGCUCAACCCAGGAACUGCAUUUGAAACUCCCUUUCUUGAGUGCUGGAGAGGAAGGCGGAAUUCCUGGUGUAGAGGUGAAAUUCGUAGAUAUCAGGAGGAACACCGGUGGCGAAGGCGGCCUUCUGGACAGUAACUGACGCUGAGACGCGAAAGCGUGGGGAGCAAACAGG